rnacentral:misc_RNA from 1 species
AACGCAACUUGCACUCUUCUCUCGAAGAGUAUGCCUGUUUGAGUGUCGUUUUACAACCUCAACAAAUUUCCAAGUUUCUGACUUGAAAUUUUGUUGGAAUCGAGAGUUUUACCUGGCCUUUUAUUGGCUGCGUCUCUUAAAGAAUAUUGAAUUCUUGAAACUGGCAAAUUUUUUUUUAAAAUUUCUUUUCUCAACGGAGGAGAGAGAAAAAAAAACCCCGAGACGCAUUCCUUGAAAAACUCGACCUCAAAUCAGGCAAGAUUACCGGCUGAACUUAA